rnacentral:rRNA from 1 species
AACGAACGCUGGCGGCAUGCCUAACACAUGCAAGUCGAACGGACGGUAGCAAUACCGUUAGUGGCGAACGGGUGAGUAACACGUGGGAACCUGCCUGGUCGUACGGAAUAACUGCGGGAAACUGCAGCUAAUACCGUAUGUGUCCUUCGGGAGAAAGGAGCAAUCCGCGGCCAGAGGGGCCCGCGUCCGAUUAGCUAGUUGGCGGGGUAACGGCCCACCAAGGCGACGAUCGGUAGCUGGUCUGAGAGGAUGAUCAGCCACACUGGGACUGGGACACGGCCCAGACUCCUACGGGGGGCAGCAGUGGGGAAGAUUGGACAAUGGGGGAAACCCUGAUCCAGCAAUGCCGCGUGGGUGAUGAAGGCCUUCGGGUUGUAAAGCCCUUUCGGCGGGGACGAUGAUGACGGUACCCGCAGAAGAAGCCCCGGCUAACUUCGUGCCAGCCGCCGCCGUAAGAC